ensembl:snoRNA SNORD116 Small nucleolar RNA SNORD116
GGAUCGAUGAUGAGUCCUACAAAAAAACAUUCCUUGGAAAAGCUGAACAAAAUGAGUGAAAGCUCAUACUGGCACUCUCGUCGGAACUGAGGUCC